GACGAACGCUGGCGGCGUGCCUAAUACAUGCAAGUUGAGCGCUGACGGUUGGUACUUGUACCAACUGGAUGAGCAGCGAACGGGUGAGUAACGCGUGGGGAAUCUGCCUUUGAGCGGGGGACAACAUUUGGAAACGAAUGCUAAUACCGCAUAAAAACUUUAAACACAAGUUUUAAGUUUGAAAGAUGCAAUUGCAUCACUCAAAGAUGAUCCCGCGUUGUAUUAGCUAGUUGGUGAGGUAAAGGCUCACCAAGGCGAUGAUACAUAGCCGACCUGAGAGGGUGAUCGGCCACAUAGGGACUGAGACACGGCCCAAAAUCCGACGGGAGGCAGCAGUAGGGAAUCUUCGGCAAUGGACGAAAGUCUGACCGAGCAACGCCGCGUGAGUGAAGAAGGUUUUCGGAGCGUAAAACUCUGUUGGUAGAGAAGAACGUUGGUGAGAGUGGAAAGCUCAUCAAGUGACGGUAACUACCCAGAAAGGGACGGCUAACUACGUGC
rnacentral:rRNA from 1 species